UUAGAGAGCCACGUAGACAGACACAUCAGAAAGUCAUGCUCUAUAAAAGUGACACGUGUCUCAGGAAGACAAAACACAUUCUCUCCCCUUCAUUCGAUGGCGUUGACGCCUGAGUUUCUUCGGGUUAUCUGAAACGGUUCAAUUUAUGGCUUUCGUGUUAAAUCUCAUCGAUUCAGUCGCUCACUAUGAGUUCUGCGAGACGGUGUGUGUUAGGUAUAAAUAUGUGAACAUAAGGGCGAUCAAGCUCCAUGCGUUCAUGAUAUUUUGAGAUGCAAUCAACUCAAGCUUUAAACCAGGUCUUCGUGGCUGCAUCAAAACAUGAGUAACUCUUUCGUCCUCAUCUCUCAUCUGCAAUUUUUUAUUGAUUUGAUAUACAAUGACAAUUUGCUUGCUGCAUAUCUAAGAAGGCUCCGUACAAUGAUUUUGAAGGUCCCAGUUUCAAUCCCUAAUACCGUUUAAGAAUCGGUUGACUGGAAGCGGCAGUACCUAAAGUCUGGGUAGAUCGAGUUUCCAGAGUCUUAGGAAGGAAUUGAAUUAAAAGAGGGUGAACAACUUCAAACAUGCAAGGCAAAACAAACCACUUUGGCCUCGAAAUUACCUUCUUCCCAACUUAUCGUCCACUGCAAAAAACCAAUGGAAAUGUAAAGCGUCAAUUAUAGAGAAAGUUAGCCUUAUUUUCAAUUUAAUUGCUUAUAGAUUUAGAACUAACCUGUAGGAAAUGUCUGGUGAUGGAUUGUUUAUAGAUGCUAAAUCAGAUUGAUUAAUGGGCUAACAGGGUUUAAUGAUGGCAAGAAUAUUCAUAUAAUAUUGUAGGAAAUGUUUUCUCACUGAUUAAUUGUUUUCUGGACUGGUCAGGACAACAAGAUUUGGUUUCCUAAAGUUUCUGGUGUUGUUCCUGUCAUCCUGAUGUGAUAACUUCUAAUUGUUAUGAGCAGUGUUGGCAAGGGGAUAAAGCUUUAAGAUUAAAUGAGUGCAUUGUUAAGGCUCCCUUAUUUCAGCAAGUUCAUCGCUCAAAAGAUUGCGUUGCAGGUUAGAUCAUUCCGAGAAUUUCAAGAGCUUCACUUGGAAGAACGUCUUCAACUCCUCCGGGGGUUGCUGGUUUGUCGGAGAGCAAUGUUGUAGACAUCGAGAAUGUGUAUAGAAAUGAUACCUUCUUUGAAAGUAGGAGUCACGUGCAAAACAGAAGGUGAUAGUUCAAGCUUGGAUCACUCUAAAAUGUUUUAACUGACUCUUAGGCGCUAUUCCUCGCUAUCCUUACCACAAAGAGAAAGGCUUAUGGGCUCUUUUUGCGGAUUCAAACAAUGUAUGGCUCUUUCAAAAGGUUAGUUUCAUGGAUGGAGCUGAAGCUAUACACUUCUUCAAGUGAUGUUUGUUAGACAUUGAAAAGUUUAGGAGCAAGCGUCGAGGCAAAGAACAAUGAAGUUAGAGAAGGUUAAACGCCGAUCAACAUUGGAAAUGGGGAAACGCUAAAAACCUGCAGAAGAUACUAAUAAGUUGACUUGCUUAUGAGUUUUGCGUAAGAGAUGCUUGGAUCAGUUGUGAUCAAAAGACAUUACUUAAAGUUGAGGUUUUGAAAAGAACCAGUGAUUUGGAGAGUGAGGUUACAGAAGAAGGCAUGGAGGAGGAAGUAGAAAAUGAGAAUGAAGAGAAUUAUGAAAGCAAAUAUAGUGAGGAAGAGGAAGAUAAGAAGAAAGGGUCAGAGAGAGUAAAAAAGAUGGGAUCAGGUGAAGAUUGUAAAACAAAAAAGGCGUUAAACCUGCACUGUGUAGAUUUUGCCUCCAAAAUUUACAGUGAUACUCAAUGACUUUAGCAUGUUAUUUGUUCUUCCGCUGAUUUCGUAGACGUUUUGGAUUUUGAUGGUUUUGGACUUUAACUCUUUAAUUACUGUCUUGAUCCGACUCUUCUAAGCUUUACAGUAAAAUAAGUUAAUGCUUCCUGUUUCGGUUA